CCUACGGGAGGCAGCAGUGGGGAAUAUUGCACAAUGGGGGAAACCCUGAAGCAGCGACGCCGCGUGAGGGAAGAAGGUCUUCGGGAUGUAAAGCCCUAUUAGCAGGGAAGAAAAUGACGGUACCUGAGGAAGAAGCACCGGCUAACUCCGUGCCAGCAGCCGCGGUAAUACGGAGGGUGCAAGCGUUAACCGGAUUUACUGGGCGUAAAGGGGGCGUAGGCGGGAUUGCAAGUCUGGUGUGAAAGGCUGGGGCUCAACCCUAGGACUGCAUUUGAAACUGUAAGUCUUGAGUUUAGGAGAGGUAGGUGGAAUUCGUGGUGUAGCGGUGAAAUGCGUAGAGAUCAAGAGGAAUACUGAUUGCGAAGGCGGCUUACUGGACCGUAACUGACGCUGAGGCUCGAAAGCGUGGGGAGCAAACAGGAUUAGAUACCCGUGUAGUC
rnacentral:rRNA from 1 species